GACGAACGCUGGCGGCGUGCCUAAUACAUGCAAGUCGAGCGAACAUUUGAGAGCUUGCUCUCAAAUGUUAGCGGCGGACGGGUGAGUAACACGUGGGUAACCUGCCUGUAAGAUUGGGAUAACUCCGGGAAACCGGAGCUAAUACCGGAUAACAUUUUGAACCGCAUGGUUCGAAAUUGAAAGAUGGUUUCGGCUAUCACUUACAGAUGGACCCGCGGCGCAUUAGCUAGNGGUGAGGUAAUGGCUCACCAAGGCGACGAUGCGUAGCCGACCUGAGAGGGUGAUCGGCCACACUGGGACUGAGACACGGGCCCAGACUCCUACGGGAGGCAGCAGUAGGGAAUCUUCCGCAAUGGACGAAAGUCUGACGGAGCAACGCCGCGUGAACGAUGAAGGCC
rnacentral:rRNA from 1 species